rnacentral:rRNA from 1 species
UACGAAGGGGGCUAGCGUUGCUCGGAAUUACUGGGCGUAAAGAGCUCGUAGGCGGUCUGUCGCGUCGAUCGUGAAAACUUGGGGCUUAACCCUGAGCUUGCGGUCGAUACGGGCAUGACUGGAGUUCGGCAGGGGAGACUGGAAUUCCUGGUGUAGCGGUGAAAUGCGCAGAUAUCAGGAGGAACACCGGUGGCGAAGGCGGGUCUCUGGGCCGAUACUGACGCUGAGGAGCGAAAGCGUGGGGAGCGAACAGG